rnacentral:lncRNA from 1 species
AUGGCAGGAACCCGGGAGGCGGAGCUUGCAGUGAGCUGAGAUCCGGCCACUGCACUCCAGCCUGGGCGACAGAGCGAGACUCCGUCUCAAAAAAUAAAAUAAAAUAAAUAAAAUAAAAUAAAAUAAAAUAGCAUGAAUUACAAGGGCCGGGCACAGUAGCUCAUCUCCAUAAUCCUAGCACUUUGGGAGGCCAAGGCGGGCAGAUCACCUGAGGUCAGGAGUUCAAGACCAGCCUGGACAACAUGGUGAAACCCCGUCUCUACUAAAAAUAUAAAAAUUAGCCAGGCGUGGUGGCAUGUGCCUGUAGUUCCACCUACUUGGUGGGCUGAAGCAGGAGAAUCGCUUAUACCCGAGAGGCAGAGUUGCAGUGAGCCAAGAUUGUGGCACUGCACUCCAGCCUGGGCAACAGAAUGAGACUCUGUCUCAAAAAAAAAAAAAAAAAUUACCUGGGCAUGGUGGCACACGCCUGUAAUUCCACCUACUUGGGAUGCUGAGGCACAAGAAUCACUUGAACUAGGGAGGUAAAGGUUGUAGUGAGCCGAGAUCAUGCCACUGCACUCCAGCCUGGGUGACUGAGUGAGAUUCUGUCUCAAAAAAAAAAAAAAAAAAAAAAGCACGAACUGGGAUAUUUGUCAUUAUCAAAAAUUAUACAUGUCCAUUGCUUGCUUUCUUGCUUUUUUUUUUUUUUUUUGAGACGGGGUUUUGUUGCUUCUUUUCCAAGUAUCAAUCAAAACUACAUGCCAACCUCCACUCCUUGGAAAUAAUUAAAUGACAUGACGUGCCUCAUUUUUUUCAGCUGCUGAUGCACUGUAAUUUGCACCUGUUGAAGGAAUUUAUCUUAAGUCCUGAAGCCUAGCCACUUGAGACAACUGAGAGCAAAUCAUCCGUGGCUUAACAGCAGGCUUUGGAUUCAAGUCCCCUUUUCUCCUGUCGAGGGAAGUGAGUCUAUGAACCGGCCUUCAUCUGAAAGCCACAGCGAAGCACCUCCUAGCCCAAGUCUAGCUGCUGUGUGGCAGCUCCAGCGGUGUGACCUGUGACUGCCCUGCAGAC